rnacentral:rRNA from 1 species
GCGCGAAAACUUUACAAUGCUGGCAACAGCGAUAAGGGAACCUCGAGUGCCAGGUUACAAAUCUGGCUGUCGAGAUGCCUAAAAAGCAUUUAAUAGCAAGGGCCGGGCAAGACCGGUGCCAGCCGCCGCGGUAACACCGGCGGCUCGAGUGGUAACCGUUAUUAUUGGGUCUAAAGGGUCUGUAGCCGGCCGGAUAAGUCUCUUGAGAAAUCUGGCAGCUUAACUGUCAGGCUUUCAGGAGAUACUGUCUGGCUCGAGGCCGGGAGAGGUGAGAGGUACUUCAGGGGUAGGGGUGAAAUCUUGUAAUCCUUGAAGGACCACCAGUGGCGAAGGCGUCUCACCAGAACGGACCUGACGGCAAGGGACGAAAGCUAGGGGCACGAACCG